AUUGUUUGCAACACAUCAAAGUCAGUGUAAAGGUUUCAAGAAGGCAGAUUACAGGAGCCCCUUGAAGGCAAUGUCUGACUAGAGCCUUCAAGCCGCCCACCAUGGCCUGGUGCCAGGUGCCACCUCUAUACAGCAAGCAGCCUCCUACAGACACCCCCUCUGCCACUGCAUCUGCCCCAUGGCACAGGACACCCUAGAGUGAAGAUGCCCUCUUCGUCUGACUUGGAGGCGGCCCUGUUACUUAAAAUGUCCUUUUUCUACUUAUAAAUCUCCUGUGCCUGAAAAGAGGAAGAGGGAGUUUCCGGAAAAGGAACGUGGCCAGCCGAUGCCAAGGAGACUUACUGAGGAGUGGUUCCUGAGAGCGCUGGUUUUGCCUGGUCGUCUCUAGGUCCUCUGUUUCAGAAGGACUCUGUGAAAACAACUCUUGAUUUGACAUCUGAAAAAUACAGAAUAAUGAAUAGUUAGAUUUCCACUACAGUGAAAUAAAAACCUCUUGGCAGUUAUCAGACACGGGCCCCCUCCUGGCCAAGCACUCCAUGUGCAUCAUUUCAUUUUAUUUUUCAAAUGUGAGGAAUCUGAAGUCUAAAGAAUCUAUUGUCUUUCCAAAGGUGUUGUGGCCAUGAUUCCAAAGCAAGGCUACUUGGCUCCAAAGCCACCAUUCAAGGUACAUACUACAAAGCAAAAUUUUACAUGGAGAAGGAAAAGUUUAUGACCACAGAUGCUUGUUGUCAAAGUCAUCUCAGUUUAAAAAUAAAUGAUGGCAAAACUACGCUUCCUGUGAAACGACUGAGGAAGACUACUUUGGAGUGGGGAACAGAUUAGAGCAGAUCCUUUUACCAAAAAGUUUUAUACUGUUACAUGCAAAACAAUCUAAUAUUCAACAUAGCUCACAAAUCAUUUGCCUAUAUGGUUGUAUUAAGUUGAUGUAUUUUAUCUACAGAAAACCUAUGUAGAGUAUGCUACUGGAGAUUUUUUUAUUACAAUAACUUAAAUCUGUUUCCUAGUAUAUUGCCUCAGUUGCUAAAUGAUGAAUAAAUGAAUAAUCACAUCAGAAGACUUACA